rnacentral:rRNA from 1 species
GGCUGGGUGUGUAAGCGUAGCGAUACGUUGAGCUAACCAGUACUAAUGAACCGUGAGGCUUAACCUUACAACGCCGAAG